rnacentral:rRNA from 1 species
CACGUAGGGCGCAAGCGUUGUCCGGAAUUAUUGGGCGUAAAGAGCUCGUAGGUGGUUUGUUACGUCUGCUGUGAAAACCUAGGGCUUAACCCUGGGCUUGCAGUGGAUACGGGCAGACUAGAGGUAGGUAGGGGAGAGUGGAAUUCCUGGUGUAGCGGUGAAAUGCGUAGAUAUCAGGAGGAACACCUGUGGCGAAAGCGGCUCACUGGACCAUAACUGACGCUGAUGCACGAAAGCUAGGGGAGCAAACAGG